UCCGGGAGACUGCAGCCCUGCCCUGGUCACUCUGGAAGCCGGCUGAUCCACGCGCGGCAGAAGCUCGAGAAAUCGGCGGUCCGGUAGAAUGAAUCGACUUCCUUAUUUUCUGAGUGCUUCAUCUUCAAGGAGGUUCAUGAGAAAGGAAUUUGCCAGGUGCUCUAGAAUACAGGGAUUUGAUUCCUUUAAGAUCAUAACACCGAGCUGGGUAA